UCUUGUUGUUCUUCUUUUCUUUUUUUUUUUUUUUUUUUUUUGGUACUGGGGAUUAAACCUAGGAGUGUUUUGCCACUAAGCUAUUUCCCCAGCCCUUUCUAUUUUUUUCCUUUUGCCCAGGCUGACCUUGAACUUGCAAUCUUCCUGCCUCAGCCUCUGGAGUCGCUGGGAUUACAGGCGUGUGUCACCACACCCAACCACAGUUGUUAUGUUUCUUUCUUAACAUACAUGAAGAUCAACAUGUAUGAUGGAAAAUGAGGAAUAUGAUUUAAAUUCACUCUGUUAUAUAUACUAGGUAACUAAUAAGGUUUUUUCUUUAAAAAAAAGAACUGAAAAUUUUCUUUCGCAGCUAACCAGUCCCUCUAUUUAUAGUCAUUCACAAGACCUUACUAAUUAAGCUUAAUUAGCAUGUAGCACAAUUUAUGCCUAUCAUUAAAUAUGUGACAAAUGAGAAAAUGUGAGAAAGUGUUAUGUAAAUUAUAAACCUUUUUUUGUGUCAGGUUAACUUUGCAGUGAGUUUGUUUUACAAUUACAAACCCCCCCCCAAUUUUAUGUCUUUGUAGACUUGCUAUAAUUCAUAGUGGCAUACUUGUGACUUUUAAGGCACUAUCAAGAACUUUGUUCCUAAAUGAAUUUUGAAAGAAAAAUCACUAAGUUCUGGUAAGUUUAUGAAAAAAAUCAGUCUUAAUUAUUUAUACUUUUAGGUUUUUAAAAACCUUUGUUACUCAUAACCCUUGUGCUUUCUCACUGCAUGCCCCCUCCAACUAGAAAACUUUGCAUUCUGUAGUUCAUAUUACUUAAAUUUUAAAAAGGGCUGGGGUUGUGGCUCAGUGGUAGAGUGAUUGCCUAGCACACGUGAGGCACUGGGUUCGAUCCUCAGCACCACAUUAAAAAAAAAAAAAAAGAUACUGUGUUCACCUAAAACUAAAAAAUAAAUAUUAAAAAAAAGAGGGUAGGAAUGUGUGGAUCAGUGAUAGAGUACUGGAUUCAAUCCCCAGUAGCAAAACCACCACAAAAAGACAAAACAGAAAGACACUGAAUUUGCUUUCUUAAAAAUCCCUUGGGCUGGGGUAGUGGCUCAGAGGUAGAGUGCUCACCUAUCAUGUGUGAGGCACUGGGUUCGAUCCUCAGCACCACAUAAAAGUAAAAUAAAAUAAAGAUAUUGUGUUCACCUACAACUAAAAAUAAAUAUUAAAAAACCCCAUCCCUCCAUCUGUAGAGAACUACUGUUGUAUAAUCACACAUCAUCUAUGGCUCUUGCAAGAAUCUGUUGGAUUUUUUCCUUGUUUUCCAGCAUCAUCUUGCCAUUACAUGAACCUUUGAGAGAACUCUGUAUAUAGUUACAGAGUUAGCUGCUUGGGACUAUUGAGUGGGAUAUAUUUUGUGAUUAGUGGCAUUGACUGGAAUAAUUAUGAAUUAAUCCUUUAGGAAAGGACCUUCUAAACCCUUUGCCUUGAGGCUUUCAACCUAUGCUUGUGAAGAAAUCAAACGCUUUUAAAUGUUGGUUUUCCAAACAAAGAUAGAUUUGAUUUCUCAAGUAUUACUUGGAAUGUGUACUUAAUCUGAGAGUAUAUAAAAGUAACUAUGUCCAAAUAAUUUGCAGCAUAAAAAUGUAUGCAUAUUCUAAUAAAAAAUAUAUUCAUAUCCUGGAAAGAGA
rnacentral:lncRNA from 1 species